CAAAAUCGUUGAAUCAAUAAUUGUAAGAAAUUUAAAAGCCUUAUUACAAUGAAACAUGUUCAAUAAAGAAGCAUUAGGCAGCCGAUCUCUUAACAUUCAUCUAGAACGUUUAAAAUAGGAGGUGUCCAAAAUACAUUGCAUGGUUUCUACUGUUAAUAUAUUUUGGUCAUCUGACGAACUACAUGGGGAUGCUGUGCGAUUGCAUACUUGGAGGCGUAUUCUGUGGGUCUGGCGAUAUUUUCUCGAUUAUAACAAAAACUGCAAUAGUUAUCAAAAUAAAUGCCUGUUAAGCGGGGAAAAUUGAUUAUUUGUAAGAAAAUAUUUGCUAAUUUAUGUAACUUCCAUGAUUUAGCAGUAUUCAUGGCUAAACAUUGAGAUAAUUGCCCUGUCCAAAUUAUAUAUACUUGAGGGUGUCCAAAACAUAUAUUCGGUGUCCAAAAUGCAAUUCUUACAGGUCAUCGGAAAUUGUGAUUUUCUCAGCUUAAAAUGCUUUCGUUAAGGUUUUUGUCACCAGGAACGCAAAGUACAAUCAUAUUGUAAGCGUAUUGGUAACUUUGCAACAUAAUCAAUUGCUUUCUAAGGAAGCUAGGGGACGAUUUUUUCAAAGUUGUCCUCAGCCUGUUCAAAAUACAUGAAUUGCCCUAAUCCAUGAAAAAAAUAAUUUGCGAACGGUUACUUGACUUUUUCCAGUGAAAUUGAAAUGUAAUUUCCUCUAAUUCUUUCAUUAAUAAUGAUCAUUCUAGUUGCCGGCAUCCUAAAGUUCAAUGUGUUUUCUUCCAAUUAUUGAAAACAUUUAAUCAAAUAACAUUGUAGAAGCUAUGCUAUGAUUUUUUUUAAAUUAUUGAUCAUAUGUGUUUUUCAGUUUUUCGGGGUAAAUCACGCCGCCCGUUACGGGAAAAAUGCACCACGAAAUGUAACACGCCAAGAAAUAACGUGGUUUGAGUGUUGCAUGCAUCACGGCGUUUACUCGACAUUAGUGCUGCAGCUAAUGCUAAUAACGCAAUUAAUGCACAUUUGAAAGGUUCUGAUUUUCGUCUCUGUGUUACUGUAGUCAUAAUUCAAACGCUAACGGCUGUUUUGGAGUUACGGCGAAGGCCGGCGCAUUUUGCCCCUAAAGUACUCGCGAUUUUGGACUACAAAAUACGCAUUUUUACACUUAAAACGGCCCUUCUUGCUCAAAUCAUAAAUUUUGCGAGUAAGCAAAGAGAAAACUUUUCGCAUUCUUACACACUGCACAUCACUCACGUAGUGAUGAAAAAAUUACAUUCAAUGCAGCAAAUUAGCCGCCGCCGUUUAGCUAUUUCACCGAGUUUGAUGGUACACUCUUAAAUCGCAUUCUAGCAAUCGCUAGAAUGAAACCGACAGACAACUCAUAUAGGAUGUGUGUUCCAUCAUUAGUAAUCUUACGCUCCCAUAUUCAUCCUAUUCGAAAAUAAGCAAGUAGGGUAGUGGAGGUAUUUUGGCCCGGGGCAUGUAUUUUAGCCAACCCUGGGUUUUUUAUUACAUUUAUCAUAUAAUCUCUACCAAAUCUUGGCAAAUUAUUAUUGGAACUUCCAAUAAUCAUUUGCCAAGAUUUGGUAGAGAUAAUUAUGAUAAAUGUAAUAAAAACCCAGGGUAGGCCAAAAUACAUGCCCCGGGCCAAAUUACCUCCACUACCCUAUCUUCUGGAACAGGUUCGUUGACAUUUUCCGGUGCUAAACAGGGUGUACAUGAUGAGUGUGAUAAUUGUUGGAAAACGACGAUAUAAACAGGUAAAAUUACGUUCGGAAAUGCCAAAAAUUACGUCAGAGGAUAUCACAAAUUUAUCUGCUGUAAAAUAUACACAGGAAGAAAAAUAUGUCAAGAUUUAAAAAAUGAUUACUUGAAUAUCUAUAUGAUGCCUCAAUAUUAAAUACGACGAUUGUUUUCUAGAAUUUAUUCUCUGAAACCAAGUAAAAUCGUUCUCCUUGGAUAGUUGGGGAAGAUAUUCGGAAUUAUAAAAAAUCCACAAUUGAGAUUUCGAUCAUGCACAUAUAAAAUAUAUCCAUAUUGAGUGGACUUAAUUUAUCACUUGUGUUUUGUUGAAAGGAUACUUUAUGGCACGAGAAAGGCACCAUCACCGCUAGGUGGAUUAAUUAGGGUUUUUGCCUUUCUCUUACACUAAGUGUACUGGAAAGGCUAUAUGUUCACUCCAAAAAUGACUUUUUGAUAGAAGGCCCGGAGGGUCGAGUCACAUAUACCAAUCAACUCAGCUCGACGAAUUGAGGUGAUGUCUGUGUGUGUGUAUGUAUGUGUGUGUGUGUGUAUGUAUGUGUGUGUGUAUGUGUGUGUACUCACACUCACAUGCAGCGUGCUGAAAGCGAGAGCUGACCGGGCUAAAUUUCCAUUCAAUUUUCUGUAUUUGAGUGUUUUCACCCGUGGUAUUGUAUAGGGCACUCACUCUCAGAAGCCACCGCUUGAGACGAAUGGCCUGUCAACAUGAGUAGUGUGUGAAUGAUUGGGAAUUGACCUUGUUGGGUUGCUCAUGAAUGGAGCUCUCGGACUCUGUCAGUUCUCACAUCGAGGAACUGAAAAUGACCGCCGCAGUCAUUCAUUUUCGGCUGAAAAACAGGCACUGACACUGAUAUUUUGCAGGACUGCUCUCCAUCGUCCUUGUUUUCAACGGUUGAAUCAAAUAUUAAUCGUUUUUGCUCGUUUGACGUAUACUCACUACCAACAUCAAGCCAGCAGCGGCUUGUGAAACGAAACCUGAUUAGCAUUUGGCGAUUAUUUUUUUGUAACGAUGAAUAUAAUAGCAAUAUGUUACAAAUGAUAUGUCUUUUUUUUCUGUACUAAAGCAAUCUCAUCAAAUCACUGAGGUGUAAAAAUAUACAGUAGGAUAGGUCAACGUUAUAUGAGAAAAUGAAAAUUAUCGCAUCAAAGCUUUUUCAAUCCUCUUUUGCGUCUAAAACUAC